AUGGCAACACUGGACAUCAGUUUUACUUUUGGGCAAGAUGUCACCCUUGAAGUACCACAAAAAAAUGGGUCAGAGACGAUUUGUUCUGAUCCUAUUCUCUCCCCAGAGCCGAGGAUUGGAUCUGGCUUAGGGUCCCUCUCCCAGCCUGUGCUGACUCAGCCACCAUCAGCAUCAACCUCUCUGGGACAAACAGCCAAACUCUCCUGCACCCUGAGCAGUGGCUACAGUAAUUAUGUGGUGGGCUGGUAUCAGCAGAGCCCAGGGAAGAGCCCCCGGUUUGUGAUGCUAGUCGGCCCUGGUGGCAUAGUGGGAAACAAGGGUGCCGGGAUCCCUGAUCGCUUUUCAGGCUCAGGCUCUGGGCUGGAUCGGUAUCUGACCAUCCAGAACAUCCAGGCAGAGGAUGAGAGUGUCUACUACUGCGGGGCAGCUCAUGGCAGUGGAAGCAGCUUCGUGUAA